UACGGGGGGGGCAAGCGUUGUUCGGAAUUACUGGGCGUAAAGGGCUCGUAGGCGGCCAACUAAGUCAGACGUGAAAUCCCUCGGCUUAACCGGGGAACUGCAUCUGAUACUGGAUGGCUUGAGUUCGGGAGAGGGAUGCGGAAUUCCAGGUGUAGCGGCGAAAUGCGUAGAUAUCUGGAGGAACACCGGUGGCGAAGGCGGCAUCCUGGACCGACACUGACGCUGAGGAGCGAAAGCCAGGGGAGCAAACGGG
rnacentral:rRNA from 1 species